GACGAACGCUGGCGGCGUGCUUAACACAUGCAAGUCGAACGGAAAGGCCCUGCUUUCUUGGUCUUCUCGAUUGGCGAUCGGGUGCGUAUCACGUGAGUAUCCUGCCCUUUACUUUGGUAUAACUUCAGGAAACUGAGGCUACUACCGUAUCGCAUCUCCUGCUGCAUGGUGUGGGUUGGAUAGUUUCGGUGGUUGGGGAUGGAUUCGCGGCUUAUCAGCUUGUUGGUGGGGUAGUGGGUUACCAAGGCUUUCACGGGUCCCCGGCCUGAGAGGGUGACCGGGCACAUGAGGAAUGAGAGAAGGCCCAGAAGCCAACAGGAGGCAACGGGGGGGAAUAUGGCACAGUGGGCGGGAGCCGGAUGAAGCAACGCCGGGUGCGGAAUGACGGCCUGCGGGUUGAAAACCGCGUUAGCCUGAGACGAAGCGGGAGUGACGGUAAUGGGUAAAGAAGCACCGGCUAACUACGUG
rnacentral:rRNA from 1 species